UACGGAGGGUGCAAGCGUUAUCCGGAUUCACUGGGUUUAAAGGGUGCGUAGGUGGGUUGGUAAGUCAGUGGUGAAAUCUCCAGGCUUAACUUGGAAACUGCCAUUGAUACUAUCAAUCUUGAAUACCGUGGAGGUCAGCGGAAUAUGUCAUGUAGCGGUGAAAUGCUUAGAUAUGACAUAGAACACCAAUUGCGAAGGCAGCUGGCUACACGAAUAUUGACACUGAGGCACGAAAGCGUGGGGAUCAAACAGG
rnacentral:rRNA from 1 species